UAAGGCGGGUCGGAGGAUCACUGCGUCAGGAUCAUUACCGAGUCGUAGGCUGAGGGUUGUAGGGCCAUUGAGACGGCGCAUGUGCACGCCCGAGCCCUUGAAUCCCAAUUACGAGAUGUGAACCCACCGUAGGCCUUCGGGCCUAUGUCUUAUCAUAUAAUCUGAAUGUCUAAUAGAAUGUAAACCCAUUUCGUUGCCUUGAAAACGUAACGAAAGAAAACUAUACAACUUUCAACAACGGAUCUCUUGGCUCUCGCAUCGAUGAAGAACGCAGCGAAAUGCGAUAAGUAAUGUGAAUUGCAGAUUUUCAGUGAAUCAUCGAAUCUUUGAACGCACCUUGCGCCCCUUGGUAUUCCGAGGGGCAUGCCUGUUUGAGUGUCAUUAAAUCCUCAACCCCUCCGAUUCGUUUCGGUGGGUAUUGUUUUUUGUAGCGUGCUGGCGAAGGUCGGCUCCUCUUUAAAUGCAUCAGCGGAGAGAAUGCCUUUUGCGCCUCUGGCCGUUCAGCGUGAUGAUGAUGUUGCGCUGCGGUCGAGCUUAAUGUCCGCUUCCAAAGGUCCUCGGACAAAUAUACAUAUGACUUUUGACCUCAAAUCAGUAGGACUACCCGCUGAACUUAAUCAUAUCAAUAGCGGAGGAAGCACAUUGCGCCCUGUGGUAUUCCGCAAGGCAUGCCUGUUCGAGCGUCAUUUAACCACUCACGCCUAGCGUGUAUGGGGCACGCGGUCUCGCGGACCCUCAAAUUAUUGGCGGCGCGUUGGCUCUAGCGUAGGUACAUAACUCCCCGCUAUAGAGUUCCACGGUGGCUCGCCAGAACCCCAUUUUUAACAGUGGACUUCGGAUCAGUAGGAUACUGCUGACCUUAAGCAUACAAUAGCCGGAAGGAA
rnacentral:rRNA from 1 species